UCUAAGUUAAGUCUAUAGAUGUUUGAAAGUCAAGGCUGAGCUAUCAUCAGAAGCAGUGGACUGUCCACCAAGAGGGCCCCAGAAGGGCGUUGCCAUGGUGAACUGGCCAUCAUCCAAGAGUUGGAAAACACAGAAGCAUGGAUCUUAAUUGCCACACGGAAGCAACUGAGGGGUGCGGAGGGGCAGCUGCCCUUUACUGGGUGGGGCAACAGGCCCCCAAGCCACUAAACAGCCUGAGAGGAUGCCUACCGCCCUGGCUUUGCCAGAAUCCCUGACUGCUCACGGUUGAUUGCUUUCAGGAUCUGUGCACUGAAGAUAUACUGGAUUAUGUACAAGCACAGAGUUGACACCUCUUGCCUGUGACAUCUUGAAAGAGGUUCCAGGCCUUCCCAGAAGGCAUAAUGCUUCCAAGUCACAGAGAUGCUCUUCGUGCCCUUGAAGAAAUAAUCUGCCAUGUUGUGGAGAGGGGCAUGUGACAGGAAAUGGCUGAAUUAUGUCAACCAGUGAGCUUGGAAGGAACCCCAAGACUCAGCAGUCAUGAAUCUGAGCAGUCACCCUCUCCCUGAUACAUGGAGCCUUGAAGUGAAAGAGUGAAGACAAGGCAAGAACUAACAUCUAUUGAGCACCAACAAUGUACCAGGAACUCUGCUAGAAAC